UUCAGAUUUUCACAAUCUCAGUUCGUUAGCUCCUCACUUUCACUAGGUGUUAACCUCCUGUUAUUUCUGUUAUUUCCACCAGAGUCAGGUUUUUCUGCUUGGCUAAUGAGGGGCUCCGCUUUACAUAUGCAAAAUGGUGCAUGCUGCUUUACCUACGUAAAAUGGUGCCUGCCCUUCGUCUUGCUUGGUUUUGUAAGAGACAGAGUUACAGAGAGAGAGAGAGAGAGACAGAGAGAGGUCUUCCAUCUGCUCAUUUGCUCCCCAAAUGGCUGCAACACCUAGAGCUGGGACAUUCUGAAACCAGGAGAGGAGCUUCUUCCAGGUCCAGGUCUCCCAUAGGAAAGUCAUAGUUGCAUCCACACUCAAGGGAAGAUGAUUUUACAAGAGCGUGAACACCUGAGGAGGGAACUCAUUGGGCUCCCUUAAAAAUUUCCGCCACAGAGGAGGCAUGGUUUAACAUUCACAGAGUCCUCAAUCUUGGAAAACAAGCAAUCAACAUGGUUUCAUCCAUCACAGCCCAUCUGAUCAUCCCAUCCAUUUCACAACGAUUCUCAGAGUAAAUGGCAUCUCUGUCCUUCCAUGAUGAUGAGACAAAAAUAAUAACCCUGUUCAAUUAAGCGUGGACUUCCAAGUCUGUCACAGUUGUAUCAACUCGAUUUGCAACAUACUGAAAAGCAAAUCUGCUUCUGUUCUAUCAGGAUUGGGGCAUUUGAAAAACAAUUUCAAGUUAAGUAUAUGUGCUAUUGGCUUUGGGAUAAAAAUACUAAAAAUUGGGAUGAAUUAUGACUUAAUUUGAAUAUUGUACUGAUUAGCUUGUGUUUGGUAAUUCUUGAUAAGGCUUGUCCCCAUUCCCCUGGUAAUUGAACACUGACUGCAGUAAUCAAGGUAGUCCAAUGUUCAUCCAACAUCAGGCCAGGAAGGAAUGAAGUGCUUGGCAAUAAUGAUGUAUCUUAGAAAGCACAUGCCUUGCAUUGUGGGGGAUAGGCUUGCUUCCUGGGAUUAGUAGUCCAUGGUGAUUUUUAUUAUGUGGUUUUUGUUGACUGUGAGCUUUAAGACUGCUCAGCUGAGCUGCUUCAAUGUUCUCAUCUCCCGAUCCCUCAUUACUUUGAGCCAAAGAUUUAUUGUUCUCUACUUUGGAGGGUGUUGCUUGUAUGCAAUUAUGUUGGCUUAAUUGUAGUUCAUUCUUCCUCAUAUAUUGUUGUGUGACCUCUUGCUCACUUUAUUGUGGGCUGUCGCUGUCAGGCCUAAUCCCUGGGAAGAUGUAAGUACAUUAGAAUUCAUUACAAAAAGAAAGAGAAAUACAAAUUGGGGUGGAAGAAAGCUCACAAAUGGGGAGGCAGCUUAACCUACUGCUACUGCCUAUAGAGACAGAAAAACAAAACCUCUGGAUAAAAUGGUUGCCAGUGCAGCCCUGAUCCAAGUUGCAACCCCAUUGUCACCAAUAUAAAGUUCUAUCAUGGAAAACACUGAAGUUAAGCUGGGAUAAUCUUAGCAAAUGUUAAUGUGUUUGUCUCUUGCUUCUGCCUUCCCAGGGACAUUUGCAAGGAAGGUGAUUGAAAAUGAAGUAACUAGGACUUGAACCAGCACUCUGCUAUGGGAUACUGGCAUGGUAAGUGAUGGUUUAACCUGCUGUGCCACAACAUUGGCUUUAGACCCUUUCAGGAGCUGAUUUUAGGAAAACAUCAGAAACUCAUUAACUCACACUGAGAUAAUUACUAUAUCCACCACAUAGGUUAUACCCUCAUCAGACAGGUCAAGGUUUCUUAAGAUUGAGCAUGAAUUAGAAUCACUUGGAUAGCUCAUAAAACAGAGGGCCCCAACCACAGUAUCUCCUCUGCAGCUGUUGUGAGGAAGGGGCUGAGAAUUGCAUUUGUACCAAGUUCUGAAGCAAUGCUGAUGUCACCUAUGUAGCGAUCAGACGUUGAGAACCAGUUAGCACAUGAAUUGCCUUCUUUCUUCCAAUAUUAGCAGUAGGAGCAAGCCAGCCUCCCAGCAGAACCUCAUCCAGACCUGUCCUUGCCUGGCUCUGUCCCUCUCUCUAAGACUCACUCUUUGGGUGGAAAGUUCUCUGGUAGCCUAUAUACAACCUUGGACUGCCUUCCAUCAGCUUUGUGUUCCUCCUGGAAAUAUCUCUGUUUCUAAGAUAACAGUAAGUACUGUUGUGGGAAAGAAUGGAUGUCUUGGAUACAAUUCAGUGAUGUAAGCAGAUAUUUCUGCAACAAAACAUAACUGCCCAGUGGCCUUUCCAAGCUGAGCCUGACCUCUCAUGUGGUAUGCCCUGGACUUCUGGGCAUUUCCAUUCCCCCACCUCUAUUAUAGGGGAGCACAGGCACAUUACUGAGGACCCUUGAGAUACAACUUUGCCUAAAAUUGCAUAUGAUACUAUAAUUUUUUCAAUAUAAGGUAUUCUGAAUUUUCCACCAUUGAAUAAACCACAUUUCAUGAACGUGAUUGUCUCUUCUGGGAUAAUCUCUUAGAUCAUCAGGGGCUUUUCCAAUUUUAAAGCUUAGAUUUACUCAGUCUAAAAAAUGUGGGCAUGUUCUUUCUGCUUUGGCAUGAGCCUGUUGCUAUAUUCACUCCUUAAAUCAUUUUUGAGUCUUGCUGUAACUUUUCCCCUUCACAGUUUUUGCAUGUCCUGUACCUCAGUUUGGGCCAGGUAUUGUCAAUCUAUUUUGGGACAUUCGACCUAUUGCUAUUGCUAUUAAAUUCUCAGUGCUUCCAGACAUAUAGCCAAUGUGGAAGAUGUAGAAGAAGUAAGGCAUUGUGAUGAAAUUUUAGAGCAGACAUAUGCCUUGAUAAUUCCAUCUUCCAAAUUGAUGCUUCCUUACUAUCUUUAAAAUCCCAGUAUUCCACAUGUUGCUCUCAUUGACCUAGGCAAGUGGUUGGCAUAUAGAAGAUAUUCAAUCAAUGGUUGUAUGUUAUAAAAAUGAUUAGAUUUAUUUACCCCAAGGGUUUGCUUCAAAUAGGUUGCUGGGUGUUCUUAGACUGACUGCUGGCAUCUGAAGCUGACUUCACAUAACAUGUCAUUGUGAUGAAGGCUUUAGGAGUAAGUUUCCAAGUAUUCCUUCAGGGGUAUUCAAGGUGGAGCUGUGGAAAAACACAGACAUACAAAGGACACAUUUUCAGAUCCUAGAGUUUGCCUAAGGCUUAUCCCCCAGUGGUCUCCACUUGUUAUCACCCUGCUUUGGCUUCUGUCUUUUUUGACUUGAAUUUGAGCCUGUUUCAGUUAUCUCUCUCCCUCCUGUCUACAGUUACCCAUUCUGAGUACCUGGUCCAAGUCCUACCUACCCUGCUUCUAAUCCAGCUUCCUGUUGAUGCGCCUGGAAGGCAGUAGUUAAUGACCCAAGUACUGAAUUCUUGCCACUCACAUGAGAAACCAAAAUGGAGUUUUCUGACUCUUGGCUUCAUCCUGGCCCAGCCAAGCCUAUGCAGGCAUUUGGAGAAUAAACCAACAGAUGUAAUGUCUCUUGAUUUUUCUCUGUCUCUGCCUCUUCUGUCACUCUGCCUUGAAAAUAAAUAAAUACAUCUUUAAAAAAAAUCUUUUCUAGUUAGCAAAGUGCAUUUUUCUCUUUUUUAUUAUACAAUAACUUUUAUUCUCAUUUUCACUACUGCAAUAAUGAUUCCAACAAUAACUAAUCAUAGCUUGAAACUUUAAUGUAUUGUUAGUUAUAUACCUGAAUUAAGAAAAGAACAUUAUGCAAUUUGAAGUGACUAUUAGGAAUAAUUAAGUUCCACUUCCAAUAACAUAUAACCCUUGAAAAUACUCACAAGUUCCUGUCAAAAUAUCUGGAAGUCUUUACCUACCUCUUCAUUUGCUUUUAAUUAAAAAGGCUAGAACCA